CGUAUUUAAGUCCAGCCCUUAUAUGAAAUAGGUUCCAAAACUGAAGCAACAAACUAUCUUCACAUACACCAUAGCCUUUUCCAUCUUAAAGUUUUUAUAACAACUAACUCUCCCUGAAUAAAAUAAACAAUAGACCUAGAGCACAGUUUUCUUGACAAGUAAAACAUCUAUCCAAAUUACCAUACAUAUUCUAACAAAUUGAAGCUUGUAACAUGGAGCAAAUGCUUCAGGGAGAUUCUAUAUAUUAUAAAUAAUUCACAUCAAGGAGAUUUUCCAAUUACUAACCACCAAUAUAUGAAGCAUUACAGACAACAAGCACAAAGCAGGCAGGAUAUAAUAGACUUGGCAAUGAAAACCACUUCAUAAUGGCGCAGAACAAUGGCAGCGAGCACAUCAAUUAGAAUAACAACCAUCACUAACAAAACCUAUGACUAUCAAAGCCAUCUAGAAUAUUCAAUUCCAGCACACCAGGUAUCAAACGACCAUAAAAGUCAUCUACAACAGUCAAUCCCAGCAUAUCAUUAUAACUACUAAUAAGAUAUCAAAAAAAUAAGAAAAGAAUGUCAAAACUAAAAGGGUGAAAGGUUACCUAUUUAGAAGCAUCAAAAUGGGGAUUAAUUCUUCGAUGGAACUUCUACCACCACCGGAAAAGGCUCUACAACUCAGAGAAAACUUUGCGUAAAUGAGAACUUAUCACGAAAAAGUUGUUUUUACUGGAAAAAUAGACUUUUUUCUCAAAAAAACUUUCAACCUUCUCCGACUUCCAUGUUUUUUUUAUCAAGAAUCCCUUUUUAUAGAAGGGAAUUUGGAUUCACAUUUAUGCUCCAACCAAUGUUGGAGAGAUAAUUUUUGGGGUUAAUUCUGGGAUUUCAAAGGGGAAAAUUCAAACUUUGAAUAGGGAUAAGGGGAUGUGCUGUAAAAUUGUUUGAAAAUCGUACAAUUUUGAAAUAGUUGGAUGCAGAGUUGUUGAGGUCGUAUGAUUCCUCAUCACUGGAAUCGCGGGUUGGAGCUGGGUCAGGUUUGAGGUAUUGGGGUUUGCUAGUUGUUGUUCGAAUUGAUGUUGGGUUGAGUUUUUCGUCGGGUCGGGGGUUUGAUCGGAGUUGGGUCAACGAUAUUGAUGGUGUUUGUUGUUGACCGAUGUUGCUGUUUUGUUGGGUUUUUCCAUUUUUGUGCUUAUGGUCGCUGUUAAUAUGUACUGAAUUGUUGAUAGGUAAAGAAGAAAGAAAUGGGCUGGCAGGUCAGGUCAAUUGGGCUUAGACUAAGAGUUGAGCCAUUAGUUAUGGUGGGCUGCUGAUGGGGUUUUAAUUGGAUAGAUUAGGUUUUAGGAUUUUUUAAAAACUAACCCCAAUUAGACUAGGGGUUCAAAAAUUAGUUUCAAUUAGGAAUUAAUCAAUUCUACUUAAAUGACA
rnacentral:lncRNA from 1 species